rnacentral:lncRNA from 1 species
CCCAACUUCCUAGGGGGUCAUCCAUCAUAGGACUACUCUCGUUCUAGCACGCUUAACUCUCUUAACCUCUUGGGCGUAGCCACCACCCAAAAUACUUAAGCCGGAUUAACAGUUUUAGCUCUAUUAUAUCUUAUACAUAAGACUACCUAGGGUUUCACAUCCCUCCCCCCUUAAGCCUUGAUGUACUCGUCAGGCUCAGACUCACAAGUACUAGGCAAUGUGCGACUUGUCUCGCUAGCCUAAACCGACUUUGUGGUAAGCUGCACUUCUUCCACAAUAGUCAACAGCAUGAGAGCCUCCCUCUCCCCGCUGUAUAAUGCUGACUUAGCCGAGACUUAUCUCACACUUCUGGUUGGUAAUUAGCUCUGAUACCAACUGUGAUGCCCCAACUUUUCAGGGGAUCACCCAUCAUUCGACUACUCCCAUUCUAGCAUGCUUAACUCUCUUAACAUCUUGGGCCUAGCCACUAUCCAAAAUGCUUAAGCCAAGUUAAGAGUUUUAGUCAUAUUAUAUCUUAUAUAUAGAACUAUCUGUGAUCUCGCAUGGGAGAACUCUCGCUCUUAUUUUCGCACCAAGCUAUUCCCCUGUCACAACUUCUGAAAAUCCUCCUCCAUUUUUUUUUCACACUAUCAAGGAAGUAUGCAUCAAACAACGUUCUCCAAAACUCCUCCCAC